UGGGUUGCAGCAGACGUUUUCCAGUAGGAAACGUUCAGGGAAUGACGUCCAAUGAUACAGACGGGAUGGAUUUCUACCCAAGAGGAAGGGGAAAGCACCUAUGUUUGCCGAUCAACUAGAGCAAUCUGUAAAAUUUAUAUUGCUCUCAUCGCAAUAAGUAGCCACAUUUGUAUUGUGUCUUGGAAUUUUCGGCAACUGCAUGCGCAAAGUGUUUGGACCAAAUCCGGACUGUGGGGGGAGUUUUGCGCCUGCUUUUGCACGCUAAACAAAACAACGAACAAGGACUUGGCUGCGCAGAACACACAUCCAGCCACGAUUAGUAACUAUUUAGCUAGUUAUGUAGAUUGCUUUUGGCAGGUUUGCCUGGGUACAUAACUACAUUAGUUUAUUUGCAUGUUUGUGAAGAAAAGCUCCAAACAGAUUGGUCGGUCUAAGGAGAGAAUGAUAGGGGUUUGAGAAAUUCAGAGUUUUGUCCCCGGCUUGGACGUUAGCCUCUGCUAGCUACAGAGUUAGCAAAUGCCAAAGGGCCUAUUUAGCAAGCGUUUUCAAACCUUUCCAGCGUUUGAGAGUUAUGACAUGACUGCAGUACAGUACUUACCUGUUUGCUGGAUUGCUACUAUUCAUACACACGCUAAUAUUCGUGAAUAGGGUUUUUACUUCUACACUCCGUGAGGGACGGAGCAAGGAUAUGGGGAAGCGUUGCUCAGCCGACUACUACUGUCACUCCUCCAGGAUUUCGAAUCAGGAGAUCCCGGGUCGGUUGUUUGGUCUCACGGAUAGCCAGCUAGCUACAUGGACUCACUGACAAGUAACUGCUGUUUCAUUUCAAGACAUAUUUGCAGUUUGAAUCAAGUAGCUAGCUAUCGACAAAUUAUUUGGCGUGCCUCACCCACAAUAUUGUGCUGAGGACCACACCAUUUGACCAGACCAGUCAACUCGUUACCAGUCGUGAAAGGGCAAGAACAAAAACGACGCGCAAAAUGAACUAUCAGCAGCACCUUGCAAACUCGGCUGCCAUUCGGUCUGAGAUCCAGAGGUUCGAAUCCGUCCAUCCAAACAUCUACUCCAUAUAUGAACUGCUGGAGCGCGUGGAAGAGCCCAUCCUGCAGAAUCAGAUUCGAGAACAUGUCAUCGCCAUUGAAGACUCCGCAUACCCUGAUCUCUGUAUUCAGCUGCAUUUGUUCCUGCUAAAUCACAUCCAUCCCCAGACAGCAGUACAGCACUACAUCACACUGCUCUCCCCCACAUUCUGACUGCUGAGACCGACAGGUAACAUGAUCUCUGGCCUCCCCACCAGGCAGACAGGGAACAUGAUCUCUGGCCUCCCCACCAGGCAGACAGGGAACAUGAUCUCUGGCCUCCCCACCAGGCAGACGGGGAACAUGAUCUCUGGCCUCCCCACCAGGCAGACGGGGAAUAUGAUCUCUGGCCUCCCCACCAGGCAGACGGGGAACAUGAUCUCUGGCCUCCCCACCAGGCAGACGGGGAACAUGAUCUCUGGCCUCCUCACCAGGCAGACGGGGAACAUGAUCUCUGG